AACGAACGUUAGCGGCGCGCUUAACACAUGCAAGUCGAACGAGAAAGGGCUUCGGCCCCGGUACAGUGGCGCACGGGUGAGUAACACGUGGGUAAUCUACUCUCGAGCGGGGGAUAACGUUCCGAAAGGAGCGCUAAUACCGCAUAAGACCACGCUCUCGAAAGGGAGCGAGGUAAAAGUAGGCCUCUGAAUUCACGCUUACACUCGAGGAUGAGCCCGCGGCCCAUCAUGGUAGUUGGUAGGGUAAUGGCCCACCAAGGCGACGACGGGUAACCGGUCUGAAAGGACGACCGGUCACAAUGGCACUGAGACACGGGCCAUACUCCUACGGGAGGCAGCAGUGGGGAAUUUUGCGCAAUGGGGGAAACCCUGACGCAGCGAUGCCGCGUGGAGGACGAAGGUCUUCGGAUUGUAAACUCCUUUUGUCGGUGAAAAAUAUUUGCGUGAAAAACGCAAACUGAUUGUAUCCGGCGAAUAAGCCACGGCUAACUUCGUGCCAGCAGCCGCGGUAAUGUAGUCGUG
rnacentral:rRNA from 1 species